AAGAAGGCCUUCGGGUUGUAAAGCACUUUUAUCGGGAGCGAAAUACUAUCGGUUAAUAACCGGUGGGGCUGACGGUACCCGAGGAAUAAGCACCGGCUAACUUCGUGC
rnacentral:rRNA from 1 species